rnacentral:rRNA from 1 species
AUUGAACGCUGGCGGAAUGCUUUACACAUGCAAGUCGAACGGCAGCACGGGGGCAACCCUGGUGGCGAGUGGCGAACGAGUGAGUAAUACAUCGGAACGUGCCCAGUCGUGGGGGAUAACGUAGCGAAAGUUACGCUAAUACCGCAUACGAUCUAAGGAUGAAAGCGGGGGACCGUAAGGCCUCGCGCGAUUGGAGCGGCCGAUGUCAGAUUAGGUAGUUGGUGGGGUAAAGGCCUACCAAGCCUGCGAUCUGUAGCUGGUCUGAGAGGACGACCAGCCACACUGGGACUGAGACACGGCCCAGACUCCUACGGGAGGCAGCAGUGGGGAAUUUUGGACAAUGGGCGCAAGCCUGAUCCAGCCAUUCCGCGUGCAGGACGAAGGCCCUCGGGUUGUAAACUGCUUUUGUACGGAACGAAAAGCCUUGGGCUAAUACCCCGGGGUCAUGACGGUACCGUAAGAAUAAGCACCGGCUAACUACGUG